ensembl:lncRNA
GUUUACGAGUCCUACCCGAUUGCCCCCAUCUCCUGUUAGCCGAGCAACCGGGCCACUGCCCUCUCCCGCAGCCCGGGGGCCGCUCGGGGCUCGGGCCACCUGCUGCGGGGCCAGGGAGGGGCAGGGCCGACUCCUCUGACCCGGUCUCCUGCUCUUUCUAUCUGGAAAGGAACGCGCAAGCCCCAGCCCAGUCCGCGGGCGCCACUCCGGCUCCAGGGCGAGGACGCAGCUACUCACCGCUCGCCGCCCGUCACCUCUCCUUACUGGACCCCGAUCGCUGGAACGGCUCACGGAUUAUUUAAAAGCCGGCUCCGGAGAUCCCCGGGACGGCUUCCCGAGAGCCCGCCCCGCUGCCCCGCCCGCCAGCCCGGACGGGAACGGACCGCGGGUCAGCAGGACCCCGGACCCUGCGGGAGGCAGCCGAACCCAGACACCCGGCGAAGACCUGUUGCGGCCUCCCCCUGUCCCCGACCAACUUCCAGAGAUGGAGCUGCCGGGACGGGGGUGACCCUUAAACGUACUCACCGGCUACGGCCGAGCUGAGCGCGGGACCAGGGGCUGGGUCCCGACCCGCACGGUAAUUUAAAUAUCGCCAAGCCUCGGCCUCCGGCCGCGCUCUGAUUGGUCGGCCGAGCAGGCGGUCAGGCUGCCCCGAGGGCACCCACCGGACCCCGCGGAACUUCACUUCCUGCGCCUGGAACCCGGCCCCUGCACACCCUGCUCGGGACACGUCGCCUUGCACCCGACCAGAGCCCUCUCCUCGGAAUGCAGCUACCUUCCCGAAAACUCCAGGUUCCCAGGCGCCUCCGGUGACUCCUCCGGGCCUUUAGACUCUGUGGCCUGCUCCGAAGGCGUUGUUUGUGAAACAAAACUAAAGGAAAGCCAAACCACAGGGGUGGGGGUGCAGCGCUUGAAUACCAUGCACGUGGCCUUGGGUUCUCCUCGCAGCACCCAGACAAAACACAACAAAACUAGUUUGGUUCCUUAGUGUGUGUCUUUGCAUUGCUUAGUUACUGGACUCAUAAAAAGGACUGAGCUGUGAAAAGGGCAUCUGCUAACGCUCAGAGCACACUACAUCCGAUCCGAUCGCUGGGUGCAUAUGGGCCUCCUGGACUGACGGCGUCUGAGAAUCUUCACCCCUGCUGGCGUUGCGCUGAGCCAUGGAAAGCCAGAAGUAACCAUCCUUGUGACUCCCCUCCUACUGGGCGCCACGUCCUCACUCACCACUUCCUUUCUGGAAUUGAGGAUACAGUGGCCCUUUUUGUCUGCCCACAUCUGUGGAUUCAACAGAACUUCUGGGAAGCAACCUGUGUAAAACUGUGGCCCAGAGUGACAAAGAACUCACCAAGAAUCUGUGUCAAUGACAGCUCAGCCUCCGCCUCCAGAUCCUGCCGGGACCCACAGCCUUCAUCCUCAAGGGCACUGGGGCUGUUAGAGCAAAACGGUGAGCAAAUAAAUACCAGCAAAUAUAACAACUGACUGUGAGAACACAGUUUAGAGGAGAAAACAACAACACAACACAAACAGAAACUACAUCCGCCAUGAUUGACUCAAUGAGCAAAGGGUAAACUUCAUUUUCUUUUCUUUUUUUAUUGCUCUGAUCUCCAGAUUUCCUAUGAAAGAGCAUUUAAUUAUCAUUGAAAAAGGAACACUAAUUUAGGAAAAACAAAUCCCUGAAAUUAUAUGAAGUUUCUCCACUCAGCCUGUCUUUUGAUAUUUUCCUAGGUUCUUAAAAAUGUUGCCAAUGCUCAAGUUGAUAGGUGAGUUUUGA